AAGAUCAUCUUUUGGAACAUGCGCGGCCUCAACAGCGGAGCCAAAUGCGCGGUCGUUCGCUCUAUAAUCGCUUCAGUGUCCCCUUGUAUCGUUUGCCUCUAGGAAUCUAAACUCGCUUUGGUAUCGCCUGCGCUUGUACAUGAAACGCUUGGCCCCGCUUUUGACAGUUUCUUUUGGCUACCCACAGAUGGCACCCGCGGUGGCAUCAUUCUCGCUUGGAACAGCGCAGUGAUCUCCCUUACCAACCCGGUUGUCGGCGACCACCAUGUCUCGACUGUGUUGUCCUCCACUACUGGCGGCGCCAACUGGUGGAUCACCGGUGUGUAUGGACCCAAGGGGAUGACGCCAAGAUCGCCUUCCUCGACGAGUGUUGGUGUCAAAACCGGCGGAUCUUCGGUAGGGGGUCCCGAACUAUGCGUCUAG
rnacentral:rRNA from 1 species